rnacentral:lncRNA from 1 species
ACUGCAUAUUUACUUCUUGCACAUAUUUAAUCUUCUAAACGCACUUGAAGGAUAAACAAUAUUAUCAAUCUAAAAACAAAGAGUACCAUCAACAACUAUCAUCCUGUACCAAAAGAAUUAAGAUUUUCCUAGACUAAAAUAAAAAACUCAUGCAUGCAACAACGGUUUCUGCAUUCAAUUUAAACGCUAAAGAAGACAAAAAAAAUGGAAUUAUGUCCUACACCAAUACAAACACACGUUCAUACAAAAUAUUCAUCAGACUACCUUAGACCUAGCCAAAACAAUAGAUAAAAUUCAUCAAGAACUCAUCGGAACAACACAAAAACAAAUAAAAUACAAACAGUACCAUGUGCACAUUUAACCACCCAUGCUUAUCAAGUCGAAAUUCCCAAAACAUAGGACAAGUUCAACUUCCCUUACCUGGACCCCAAACGUUUGCUCGUGGUUAGCCUUCUCCUUAUUGUUAUUCUUUCUCUCACGGUUUCACAUAAGAGAUAGACUUUCUCUCCCAUCGGCUGAGUUCUCCCUAAACCACCCACAUUAUCAUCGUGAUGUCAGAUUAAGGGUUCUUUCUCUUUUCUGUUUGGUCAAGAAAGUUGAGAGUAGGGUUGGUCUCUAAUCUCUCUCAUAACACUGUAGGUAAAAACAAAAGGUUAGGUUUACUUUCCACCAUGUUACGAAUACUCCCAAUAUCAUCUCCCUACUAUCAGUGUUUUUCUUUUCCAGGUUUUAUUCUAAAUCUCACUUAAAUAUCUCCGCUCUAAUAACACUUUCGGUUUUCGUCCUAUUAUUUCAUUUAAUUAAUUUAAAUAAAACCUAAAUUUCAGACCCUCGCUUUCCCCACUUUUCGGCAUGUACGCACCAAACUAAAUCUAAGAAAACCCUCAACCCCUCCUUAUUCGAAUAUCCUGGGAAAAACAAGAAGAGAAUUUUUCUCUCCUCCCUAUAAUUUAGGAAUCCAUAAAAAAAACAACAAUGAGAGAAGCCUAAUUAUCUCUUUCUCGUGCACCCUAAGAAUAAAAAUUCAUGCACUUAAACCAACUCUUUCU